rnacentral:lncRNA from 1 species
AAUCUCUACCAGCGAUCUCUUGAAGAUGGUGCACAAGAUUGGAAUGUGAAGGCUCGAGGAUGUGAAUUGAUUUUCUCUUUAGGGGGAGUUAAUGCGCGUUGCACUCUUUUUCCCUUACAAGGUUUUUUCCCACUGGGGUUUCCUUGCAAGGUUUUUAACGAGGCAACCAAUAGGCGCAUAUUCAAACAUGUGUACUCUUUUUCCUUUCUUUAAUUUUUCCCAAUGGGNNN